CUCUUAUUACGUUUUACGGCCGUGUAAAUUUUGAUUACGGCAGCACUAAGAGAAAAAUUUAAAUGGAUUAACGAUCCCUAUAUGGGAAAAGGUCUUUGGUGGUAAAAUACGAGGAGGUGCUAAAAAGUUCCUGCCUUUGAGUACAAAGAAGUACAGGAGGAUCAGGUGCUGUCCCAGUAAUUUUUCGAAGGGAGUGCACAAGAUCAAAAGGGAAUACAAUUCCAGGAGAAAAGGGCAUAACAUUAUUUAGAAGGGCGCACUUCUUUUUUUGAGGGAGUACGUGCCCCUCAGCCCCACCCUUUGAUUUCAAUUAUUAUUUUUAACAUUUUUAAAUUGAGAAAAAAAUUUUCCAUGAAGACCUGUUUUGUGUAAAA
rnacentral:lncRNA from 1 species